AAUUAUUAUUUCAAUUGUUAAAUGGAUUUACUUCUGUUAUUUCUGAACUUUUGAGAUCUCAUGGAUCCAAAGAAGAUCCCCCAAAGACUCUGAGGCUGGUGACGAAACAGAUGCCGGUAACCACAGAGCUCACUGAGCUCCCUGCUUUCUCCCCAACCCUGGAGACUGAGGAAACUGGAUUGGAUCCUGAAUUCUAGUUUCUUCCAAUAUGUGGCUACAACUCUCCAAGCUAACAUUUCCAAUUUUCUCCCACUCUUAUGACUUGGAAUCAUCAUGAAACUAAAACUGCCCAUUUCCCAAAGCUGUGGGAGCUAAAGCUGAAAAGCUUGAUAGAAACUUUGGAGAAAUCACCACAACAGCUCCUCUGUGGACAAUCUUCAGGCCUGUGGCUCUAUGGCCACUCAGAAAGAUCACUAGAGACAUUCAAGUUGCAAACCAGGAAAAGACGUCAGAUUCCCACUGUUUGCUCUCACUCCAUCUGAAGACGCUUGGAACCCAACAUCUAGCAAUCUUUUCAACUGACUGUUCUCCAAACUCCAAAACUAAAUUUGCUAUAAUUUGCUAAAACUAUUAACCUUUGUAUUUCUUUGGUUUUCAUAGAAAUGCAUCUCAUUAAAUUACCUGAUGGUUCACACCAUA